rnacentral:rRNA from 1 species
GACGAACGCUGGCGGCGUGCUUAACACAUGCAAGUCGAACGGAAAGGCCCUGCUUGCAGGGUGCUCGAGUGGCGAACGGGUGAGUAACACGUGGGUGAUCUGCCCCUUACUUUGGGAUAAGCCUGGGAAACUGGGUCUAAUACUGGAUAGGACCAUGCUGUAGGUGGUGUGGUGGAAAGAUUAGUUUCGGUAAGGGAUGAGCUCGCGGCCUAUCAGCUUGUUGGUGGGGUAAUGGCCUACCAAGGCGUCGAGGGUAGCCGGCCUGAGAGGGUGGACGGCCACAUUGGGACUGAGAUACGGCCCAGACUCCUACGGGAGGCAGCAGUGGGGAAUAUUGCACAAUGGGCGCAAGCCUGAUGCAGCGACGCCGCGGGGGGGAUGACGGCCUUCGGGUUGUAAACUCCUUUCAGCCAUGACGAAGCCCUUGUGGUGACGGUAGUGGUAGAAGAAGCACCGGCUAACUACGUG